ACGGAAGGCAGCAGUGGGGAAUAUUGCACAAUGGGGGAAACCCUGAUGCAGCGACGCCGCGUGAGUGAUGAAGUAUUUCGGUAUGUAAAGCUCUAUCAGCAGGGAAGAAAAUGACGGUACCUGACUAAGAAGCCCCGGCUAACUACGUGCCAGCAGCCGCGGUAAUACGUAGGGGGCAAGCGUUAUCCGGAUUUACUGGGUGUAAAGGGAGCGUAGACGGUUGUGCAAGUCUGAAGUGAAAGGCGGGGGCUUAACCCCCGGAUUGCUUUGGAAACUGUACGGCUUGAGUACCGGAGGGGUAAGCGGAAUUCCUAGUGUAGCGGUGAAAUGCGUAGAUAUUAGGAGGAACACCGGUGGCGAGGCGGCUUACUGGACGGUAACUGACGUUGAGGCUCGAAAGCGUGGGGAGCAAACAGGAUUAGAUACCCUGGUA
rnacentral:rRNA from 1 species